UACGGAGGGUGCGAGCGUUGUCCGGAAUCACUGGGCGUAAAGGGCGCGUAGGCGGCCCGCUAAGUCGAACGUGAAAUCCCCGAGCUCAACUCGGGAACUGCGUCCGAUACUGGCGGGCUUGAAUCCGGGAGAGGGAUGCGGAAUUCCAGGUGUAGCGGUGAAAUGCGUAGAUAUCUGGAGGAACACCGGUGGCGAAGGCGGCAUCCUGGACCGGCAUUGACGCUGAGGCGCGAAAGCUAGGGGAGCAAACGGGG
rnacentral:rRNA from 1 species